CCCACCACCAGCUCCAAGCACAUCACGAGCCCUGUCCUGUGUGAUUAUAUAGAUUGCGCAGCACAGAUGAGCGAGAAUGGAGAACUGCUUCAAGCCAAGAACAGCCAUGGCUGGACGACAGAACACCACCGGUGCUUCUGCCUCUGCCAUGGCGGCGGCCCUUCUCCUCCUGCUACUGCCCGUAGGACUCCCGGCGGCGGUGGCUGACCCGAUGCGUGGCGGAGAUGAUGUAAUAUUUAUUCAGAUUUUUUUUGGAAGAUUAGAGAGUUGACCAAAAAAUUGACUUUUUGAAUCAUUGGUGGGAUGAUCAGAGACCAUGGUUGCGUAGAGCUCGUCGAAACGAAUCCGUUUUACUACUCACAUACCAAGUUUGGAUAACGGGUGAAUUGGUGGUGAGCCGAUGAAUCUAGACCAUUGGAUACGCAUUAGGUUUAUGUUUCCUGAUCUUUCUCGCCAUCUCUUGUGCCCGACCCCUACUCCAUCGCCGCCUCCUAUUCCAGCGCCGCUGCUGCCUGCCCAUCCUAUUUCUCCUUGCCGACGCCUCUCCAACGCCGCCGCCCUAGUUUCCAUCCGUGCGGUUGCCCUGCUCCUUGUCAGACAGGGAUGCUGGAUUAAUCCCCUGCUGCAUUCACGCUAGGGUGAGGAGUGCCAGGCAGCCAGCAGCGAGAGGAAAGAGAAACAGGGAGGGGAAAAGAUUUGGGCCUUGCAAGAUCCAUCAAAUUUCUUUACAAAACCUUGAUUUCUGGGUUAAGGUUUGCAGAGUUCUAGAGCCGAAAGCGAUACGCCGGGUUUUCGUCAAGGUUAAGGCAAGUGCAGUGACGAAUCUCUUGUUUUGUGGAUAUGCUUAUUGUCUUCUUGCUACCCCCUUGGGUUAUAUUUUUGGUGGUUUUAUUUCAUAUGUCAGGUUCUUCGAGUUCAUGCUAUAAUUUUUUGGUUCGAUCAAAAGUUCAAGUUGCAUGUGCUUUCUUACAUAUUAUUCAAGUGCCGGGGGUUUGAAUAAACACCGGUUGUGCAAAUUGGUUCUUGUUCAGGUUCCUAUGAAUAAGUGCUGGCCCCAUUUAUUCGGCUUUACCGGUAAAUGCAAAGGAAGUUUCAGGUGACGUCCAUUUUAGACGGAAACUACUAUUUCAUUAUUGUUCCAUUGAUUUUGGUUUUCCACUUUUCUUAUACUUGCGGUCGUUCUUUUGGUUCUGAAUUGUACUUGCUGAGUAUUUUACUCACUCUUGUGCUUGUUUGGUUUUUAGGUACUAAAUGAUUGCGGCAUGCAUGGGAAUGGGGAGUAGCACGGUCUACAGGAGCACAUACAUUCAUUUACACAUGCUUAUUAACUUAGUUGUUUCUUAGAGUAUACAUGGUUAAGCGGGGUUGAUUUAUUCAUUCCACAGUUGAGACGGUCUUAUAGUUGGUCGGGUCAACUUAUUUUACUAUUGGAAUGGGCUGUGAUGCUUACUCAUUAUUCGUAUGCUAUUUGAUACUUUGUUAUAUAAAUUGCUUGUCCAGUACGUCCUAUUUACAGGGGAAAUUUUGUCGAAAUUUUGAAUAAUUUCUAGACGUGUUUCUUUAAUGUUUUUGGUAUCCUCCCAGUUGGUGGAAACAUCUGGGAUGUUACAGAUGAUGUGCAGGAUCCUCAACCCCAACUCCUGCGAGUUUACCCUCCACUGAAGGGCCAUCUUCCUCCCGCGAGAAGAGCAUACGCCGCCUCCUCCAGCCCUGGGGAUGUUUGAGCGCAUCGCUUACUCAGGUUCCCGGCAGGAUCGGAGGACCCUGCCGGCCUUUGUUCGUUUGCCCCCAACCAUGUCACACCAAGGCACGGGCACAGGUGUUCAUCCUCCAUCAUAAUAAGAUCAAUACAUUUUUUGUUCUCGGA